rnacentral:rRNA from 1 species
UACGUAGGUGGCGAGCGUUGUCCGGAAUUAUUGGGCGUAAAGAGCGUGUAGGUGGGAUCAUAAGUCUUUUGCAAAGUGCGGGGCUCAACCCCGUGAUGCGGAGGAAACUGUGAUUCUUGAGUGCCGGAGAGGAAAGCGGAAUUCCCAGUGUAGCGGUGAAAUGCGUAGAUAUUGGGAGGAACACCAGUGGCGAAGGCGCU